rnacentral:rRNA from 1 species
CGCGAAUGGCUCAUUACAACAGCUAUAAUCUACUUGAUCUUGACAUAUCCUACUUGGAUAACUGUGGUAAUUCUAGAGCUAAUACACGCACUAAAGCCCUGACCUCACGGAAAGGGUGCAUUUAUUAGAACAAAACCAAGCCGCUUGCGGUUUUUUGUUGACUCAGAAUAACUCAGCUGAUCGCAUGGUCUUGUACCGGCGACGUGUCUUUCGAGUAUCUGCCUUAUCAACUUUCGAUGGUAGUGUAUCUGACUACCAUGGUGGUGGCGGGUAACGGAGGAUAAGGGUUCGACUCCGGAAAAGGCGCCUGAGAAAUGGCGACUACGUCUAAGGAUGGCAGCAGGCGCGCAAAUUACCCACUCUCAGAAUGAGGAGGUAGUGACGAGAAAUAACGAGACCGUUCUCUAUGAGGCCGGUCAUCGGAAUGGGUACAAUCUAAACCCUUUAACGAGUAUCUAUGAGAGGGCAAGUCUGGUGCCAGCAGCCGCGGUAAUUCCAGCU